rnacentral:RNase_P_RNA from 1 species
CGGUUCCGCCGGGCGAUCGCGUCGCAGGUCCGCCUGCGCCGAGGAAAGUCCGGGCUCCUUGGACACGCUGCCAGGUAACGCCUGGGCACGCCGCAAGGCGUGACGGACAGUGCCACAGAGAAUAGACCGCCUUCGCGCGAGCGGAGGUAAGGGUGAAACGGUGGGGUAAGAGCCCACCGCGCCACUGGCAACAGGGGCGGCACGGCAAACCCCAGCGGGAGCAAGGCCAAAUAGGCGGCGAGCAGCAGUCCUCUGUGAUCAAGACGCCGCGGGUUGGCUGCUAGAGCGUGCGGGCGACCGUACGCCGAGAGAAAUGAUCGUCCGACGCCGCAAGGUGUCGACAGAACCCGGCUUACAGGCGGGACCGAUGC